ACACGCAGCAAAGGGAAGUACACAGGGCAAUAUAAAGAAAGAAAAUGGGCUUUGAAGUUAGGAGACUUGAAGCUGAAUCCUAGCUCCCCAAAUUAUCAGCUGUUUGGUUGUUCUCAGUAAAACUUGUGCAUGUCUAAUCCCAUCUUGGAGACCCAAAGUAACGCGAUGCCUGUCAAGAGUUAGCACAGGAUUCCCUCAAUGUAUAAGAUGAGGAGCCUCAAGAAAAGAAUUGAAUUUUGGGGGCCGGUAGUCAAUGUCAGCACAUUCUCUAAUGAGCUCUAGCCACAGUGAACUGCCAUACCGAUGAGACCACAUGUUCCAGGCAGACAGAUGGAGGCCCUCAGGGGGUCACAACCCCCCUUGUAAGGAAAGCUGGAGUCACAUACGUGCACAAUUUUGGUGAAAAAAAAUACCAAGACAUUGACACUUCACAGAAGAUACUAGCAACUCUGUUACACAGACCUUAACCCUCUCAGCUUCCCGACUCUAUUUUCUGAUUUUCUUAAGGGUUGGGCAGCUACAUUCUUCC